rnacentral:rRNA from 1 species
CAGGGAUUGCCCUAGUAACGGCGAGUGAAGCGGCAACAGCUCAAAUUUGAAAUCUGGCCUCGGCCCGAGUUGUAAUUUGCAGAGGAUGUUUCUGGCGCGGUGCCUUCCGAGUUCCCUGGAACGGGACGCCACAGAGGGUGAGAGCCCCGUAUGGUUGGACACCAAGCCUGUGUGAAACUCCUUCGACGAGUCGAGUAGUUUGGGAAUGCUGCUCUAAAUGGGAGGUAAAUCUCUUCUAAAGCUAAAUACCGGCCAGAGACCGAUAGCGCACAAGUAGAGUGAUCGAAAGAUGAAAAGCACCUUGAAAAGGGGGUUAAACAGUACGUGAAAUUGUUGAAAGGGAAGCGCUCAUGACCAGACUUGUGCCGGGCGGUUCAUCCGGGGUUCUCCCCGGUGCACUCCGCCCGGCUCAGGCCAGCAUCGGUUCUCGUUGGGGGAUAAGAACGGUAGGAACGUGGCCCUCCCUCGGGAGGGUGUUAUAGCCUGCCGUACGAUACCCUGAUGGGGACCGAGGUUCGCGCUCCGCAAGGAUGCUGGCGUAAUGGUCAUCAGCGACCCGUCUUGAAACACGGACCAAGGAGUCGUCCAUUAGAGCGAGCGUUUGGGUGUAAAACCCGCACGCGUAAUGAAAGUGAAAUUAGGUGAGAGCUUCGGCGCAUCAUCGACCGAUCCUGAUGUUCUCGGAUGGAUUUGAGUAAGAGUUUUAACGGACGGACCCGAAAGACAGUGAACUAUGCUUGUAUAGGGUGAAGCCAGAGGAAACUCUGGUGGAGGCUCGCAGCGGUUCUGACGUGCAAAUCGAUCGUCAAAUAUGAGCAUGGGGGCGAA